rnacentral:sRNA from 1 species
UGUGGUUUCUACAUGAUCAGCAAGUUCAUGGUUCGACGUCGUAGAUAGAACUCGAUGCUAUAUCGUUGCUAAUAGAGUAUCGGGUUGGGCUGGGGGAAAGUCCUGUUCAGUGCUACCAGGUUCGUAUAGAGAAAUAAAUGUUAACUAACUAGAGUGUAGCCGAGCAUAAAGCCUCAGAAAAAAUAUGAAGAACAACGACAACAACAACAACAACAACAACAACAACAACUUUAUGGGUUGGAUAUGGUACAUUUUUUUAUUAUUAUCGGCGUGGAUGGUAAGAAUUUGCUUGAAGACAAUCCCACC